AACCUUACAGGCACCUUAGACUCAGCCUGUCCCUGAAGAAGCCCCUCUACAACAUGCUAUUUCUUCCUUAUGGCAGCUGUCAAGUAUUGAGAAUAUUUUAACCACAGCAAAUUAUUUCUCUGAAUGGAUGUCUUAAACUGUAACAAAAGAUGUCAUUUAUUUUUUAAUAUGCCUAGACUCUCUGUGAAAGGUUAAUGAAUACUACAAAUGGUUGCUUCUGGGGAGGAAGAAAGGUUACUUUGUGUUGUUAAAAUUUUAUGCCACAGACAGGUACACUUCUUUAUACAACAACAAUUAACAGUGUAAUGAAAAGGAAAGGGAAAUAUUUAUCAUAAAAAUUCACAUACCAAAAACUGACCACUUGAGAACUCACCCGUAAGGGAACUGGCCCAUUUCCUUUCAAAGUAUACUUUGCUGAAAGUGAGAGAGAAGAUCAUUUAUUCAUGAUUACUUGCUCCUUUUAAACAAGCUUGUUCAAAGGCUGUGGUAUUGUAUCAAGUUCUCUUGAACACAAGGUCAAGGGUUGUGAACUUUAAGGCACCUGAAUUUAAAUACUGAGUGCAUGUAUCACACGCAUAUGUGCACUAUUCAUUCAUUCAAAAACAUUUCUCAGUAGCAGGCACUGAGUUAAGAUCUGAGGACGCAGAAUUAAAUAACUCAGAGUUCCUGCACUCAAGUGGCUCACAGUCUAGAGACCCUAUGGAUACAGAAGGCCAGCAGGGAAGUGCUGGGUAGAGGAGGGCUGUGGUCCUCUGCUAGGGUUCCACCCCCAGGCCUGCGCCCACAGACCUAGGUGAGGAGAGGCAUUUCUAUUUUCCUGCCCAAAUGUUGCAUUUCCCAAGACCACCCUGGCCGCUCACAUCCACAUCCUGUGCCUAUAAAACUCCCUGAGACCCUACCAGGCAGAGACACAAGCAGAUGGACGUCAAGAGGAGCACAUUGGCGGAGGAACACACAAGCAGCUGGAAGUCUAGAGCACACCGACAAGUAUCUGCGGGCCGGCAGGCCAUCCACCGGAGGAACAGCAUGGGGUUUGGAGGAGGUGGUCAGAGGAGAGCCAGGCUGCUGAGCCACCUGACUCCAGCAGGAAAACCAACUUCCCACUCCGUCUCCCUUCUGGUUCCCCCAUCUGCUGAGAGCUACUUCCACUCAAUAAAACCUUGUCUUCAUUCUCCAAGCCCACGUGUGAUCCAAUUCUUCUGGUACACCAAGGCAAGAAACCCCAGGAUACAGAAAGCCCUCUUGUCCUCGAGAUAAGGCGGGGGAUCAAGCUGCCUAGGGAGGGUUAAAAUAGAAGAGCGCCCUGGCCCGGCGCGGUGGCUCAUGCCUGUAAUCCCAGCACUUUGGGAGGCCGAGGCAGGCGGAUCAUGAGGUCAGGAGAUCCAGACCAUCCUGGCUAACACGGUGAAACCCCGUCUCUACAAAAAUUACCAAAAAUUAGCAGGGCAUGGUGGUGGGCGCCUGUAGUCCCAGAUACUCGGGAGGCUGAGGCAGGAGAAUGGCGUAAACCCAGGAGGUGGAGCUUGCAGUGAGCUGAGAUCGUGCCACUGCACUCCAGCCUGGGCGGCAGAGCGAGAUUCCGUCUCAAAAAAAAAAAAAAAAAAAAAAAAA
rnacentral:lncRNA from 1 species